AAAUCGAACGCUGGCCGGCGUGGCUAAAGCAUGCAAGUCGUACGCGAAAGUUCCCUUCGGGGAGCGAUUAGAGUGGCGAAAGGGCGAGUAAUGCAUGGGUAACGUACCUCGGGCUUAGGGAUAGCCGCGGGAAACUGCGGGUAAUACCCAAUGAUACCAUCGUUUCAUAAGUUAUGAUGGUCAAAGGUGGGGAUCUUCGGACCUACCGGCCUGAGAGCGGCCCAUGUCCUAUCAGCUAGUUGGUGAGGUAACGGCCCACCAAGGCAACGACGGGUACCGGGACUGAGAGGUUGACCCGGCGCAUUGGGACUGAGACACUGCCCAGACUCCUACGGGGGGCUGCAGCAACGAAUAUUCCGCAAUGGACGAAAGUCUGACGGAGCGACGCCGCGUGCGGGAAUAAGCCCUUCGGGGUGUAAACCGCUGUCAGGGAUCACCAAGCAAAGGGGACGAAUAGUCCUCUGCGUUGAGGAAAUCCCGGAGGAAGCCACGGCUAACUUCGUGCCAGCAGCCGCGGUAAUACGAAGGUGGCUAGCGUUGUUCGGAAUCACUGGGCUUAAAGAGCACGUAGGCGGCCUACCAAGCGUCUUGUGAAAUCCCUCGGCUCAACCGAGGAAUGGCUGGGCGAACUGGUAGGCUUGAGGUAGGUAGGGGCGCAUGGAACUCUUGGUGGAGCGGUGGAAUGCGUAGAUAUCAAGAGGAACGCCGGUGGCGAAGGCGAUGCGCUGGGCCUAUCCUGACGCUGAGGUGCGAAAGCCAGGGGAGCGAACGGGAUUAGAUACCCCGGUAGUCCUGGCCCUAAACGAUGUCCACU
rnacentral:rRNA from 1 species